ACGGGUGAGUAAUGCGUGGAUAAUCUACCCUUAAGAUGGGGAUAACGGCUGGAAACGGUCGCUAAUACCGAAUACGCUCCCGAUUUUAUCGUUGGGGGGAAAGAUGGCCUCUGCUUGCAAGCUAUCGCUUAAGGAUGAGUCCGCGUCCCAUUAGCUAGUUGGCGGGGUAACGGCCCACCAAGGCAACGAUGGGUAGCCGGUCUGAGAGGAUGACCGGCCACACUGGAACUGGAACACGGUCCAG
rnacentral:rRNA from 1 species